rnacentral:rRNA from 1 species
AUGAACGCUGGCGGCGUGCUUAACACAUGCAAGUCGCACGGUGAAGGCGGAGCUUGCUCUGCUGGAUCAGUGGCGAACGGGUGAGUAACACGUGAGCAAUCUGCCCCUGACUCUGGGAUAAGCGCUGGAAACGGCGUCUAAUACUGGAUACGAGCUGCGAAGGCAUCUUCAGCAGCUGGAAAGAACUUCGGUCAGGGAUGAGCUCGCGGCCUAUCAGCUUGUUGGUGAGGUAACGGCUCACCAAGGCGUCGACGGGUAGCCGGCCUGAGAGGGUGACCGGCCACACUGGGACUGAGACACGGCCCAGACUCCUACGGGAGGCAGCAGUGGGGAAUAUUGCACAAUGGGCGAAAGCCUGAUGCAGCAACGCCGCGUGAGGGACGACGGCCUUCGGGUUGUAAACCUCUUUUAGCAGGGAAGAAGCGAAAGUGACGGUACCUGCAGAAAAAGCGCCGGCUAACUACGU